UGAGGAAUAUUGGACAAUGGGCGCAAGCCUGAUCCAGCCAUGCCGCGUGCAGGAUGAAGCAUCUAUGGUGUGUAAACUGCUUUUAUACAGGAAGAAACCCCUUUACGUGUAGAGGAUUGACGGUACUGUAGGAAUAAGGAUCGGCUAACUCCGUGCCAGCAGCCGCGGUAAUACGGAGGAUCCAAGCGUUAUCCGGAAUCAUUGGGUUUAAAGGGUCCGUAGGCGGUCUUAUAAGUCAGUGGUGAAAUCCGGCAGCUCAACUGUCGAACUGCCAUUGAUACUGUAAGACUUGAAUUACUGUGAAGUAACUAGAAUAUGUAGUGUAGCGGUGAAAUGCUUAGAUAUUACAUGGAAUACCAAUUGCGAAGGCAGGUUACUAACAUUAUAUUGACGCUGAUGGACGAAAGCGUGGGUAGCGAACA
rnacentral:rRNA from 1 species